rnacentral:rRNA from 1 species
AAAAGCUAUUAAGGGCACACGGAGGAUGCCUAGGCAACAAAAGCCGAUGAAGGACGUGAUAAGCUGCGAAAAGCUUGGUGGAGGUGCACAUAACCUUUGAUACCAAGAUCUCCGAAUGGGAAAACCUAUAUGUGUAGAUCACAUAUACGAAAGAGGUAAGUCCGUGAACUGAAACAUCUAAGUAACGGGAGGAAAAGAAAGUAAAAACGAUUCUCUAAGUAGCGGCGAGCGAACGGAGAAUAGCCUAAACCAUAUACAUGUAAGUUGGCGACGUUGUGUAUAUGGGGUAGAGGGACUUUAAUAGACUAAUAGCCAUAAAGUCAUUUUACUAGUAGAGUAAGUGGAACACAGCUGGGAAGCUGGACCAAAGAAGGUGAUAGUCCUGUAGAACAUAAAACUAUUAGUAAAAUUUAAAGCACCCGAGUAGCAUCAAGCACGAGGAAUUUGGUGUGAAUCAGCGUGGACCAUAUCACGUAAGGCUAAAUACUUUUGUUGACCGAUAGAGAAGAGUACCGUGAGGGAAAGGUGAAAAGAACCCUGAGUAAGGGAGUGAAAUAGAAUUUGAAACCGUGUGCUUACAAACGGUAGGAGCUCGCAAGAGUGACUGCGUGGAUUUUGGUUAAUCAUCCUGCGAGUUAUGAUAUAUGGCAAGGUUAAAAAGAAUGGAGCCGAAGGGAAACCGAGUCUUAAUAGGGCGAUAAGUCGUAUGUCAUAGACGCGAAACCUAGUGAUCUAGGCCUGUCCAGGUUGAAGCUAAGGUAAGACUUAGUGGAGGACCGAACUCACCGCCGUUGAAAAGUUGGGAGAUGAGAUAGGUCUAGGGGUGAAAAGCCAAUCGAACUAGGAGAUAGCUCGUUCUCUCCGAAAUGCAUUUAGGUGCAGCCUUAAUUUUAAGAUAUGUGGGGGUAGAGCACUGUAUGAUCUAGGGGGCGUAUUGCUUACCGAAAUCAAGCAAACUACGAAUACCAUAUAUUAAUGAUUAGGAGUGAGUCUAUGGAUGAUAAGGUCCGUGGACAAAAGGGGAACAGCCCAGACCACCAGCUAAGGUCCCUAAUUAUGUCUAAGUGGGAAAGGAGGUGGAUAUUCACAGACAACCAGGAGGUUGGCUUAGAAGCAGCCAUACCUUAAAAGAGUGCGUAAUAGCUCACUGGUCGAGAGUAUCUGCGCCGAAGAUGUAACGGGGCUAAGACAUAAACCGAAGCUGUGGAAGAUGCUUUUGCAUCUUGGUAGGAGAGCGUUCUGUAAGCCGAUGAAGGCAGGCUGUAAGGCCUGCUGGAGGUAUCAGAAGUGAGAAUGCAGGAAUGAGUAGCGAGAAGGCGGGUGAGAAUCCCGCCGGCCGGAAGUCCAAGGUUUCCAGGGGAAGGUUUGUCCGCCCUGGGGAAGUCGGGACCUAAGCCGAGGCUAAGUAGCGCAGGCGAAUGGAAAAUAGGUUAAUAUUCCUAUACCACUUAAUUAACGUUUUUACUGAUGGAGUGACGCAGGAAGGUAUGUGAGAAGGCUGACGGUUUAGCCUUUCUAAGGAAGUAGCGUGAGCAUAUAGGUAAAUCCGUAUGCUUAAACGUGAGAACUGAUGGGUAAGCACCUCUUGGUGUAAGUCACAAAUCCUACACUGCCAAGAAAAACUUCUAAGGAGGAAAUUAAGUGCCCGUACUGUAAACCGACACAGGUGGACAGAGUGAGAAACUUAAGGCCGACAGGCUAACUCUAGCUAAGGAACUCUGCAAAAUAGCCCCGUAACUUCGGGAGAAGGGGUGCCUAUAUUACUUGAGAAGAGAAACACUUCAAGGGGAAAUAGGUCGCAGUGAAGAGUCUCAAGCAACUGUUUACCAAAAACACAGGUCUAUGCUAAGCUGAAAGGCGACGUAUAUGGGCUGACACCUGCCCAGUGCCGGAAGGUUAAGAGGAGGAUUGAGAGAUCCGAAUUGAAGCCCCGGUGAACGGCGGCCGUAACUAUAACGGUCCUAAGGUAGCGAAAUUCCUUGUCGGGUAAG